rnacentral:tRNA from 1 species
UUCGGGGUUCGUCUAGUGGUAGGACAACAGUUUCUGGAACUGUUUACUGGGGUUCGAAUCCCUGACCCCGAGU